ACGGAGGAGGCAAGCGUUAUCCGGAAUUAUUGGGCGUAAAGCGUCCGUAGGUGGCUCUCUCAAGUCUGCGGUCAAAGACCGGGGCUCAACCCUGGAAAGGCCGUGGAAACUGGUGAGCUAGAGUGCGGUAGGGGCAGAGGGAAUUCCCAGUGUAGCGGUGAAAUGCGUAGAUAUUGGGAGGAACACCAGUGGCGAAGGCGGCUACCUGGACCGGUUCUGACGCUGAUGCGCGAAAGCGUGGGUAGCAAACAGGA
rnacentral:rRNA from 1 species